GUGCUCUCUUCAGCAGCACAUAUACUAAAAUUGGAAAGAUACAGAGAAGAUUAGCAUGGCCCCUGUGCAAGGAUGACACGCAAAUUCGUGAAGCAUUCCAUAUUUUU
ensembl:snRNA U6 U6 spliceosomal RNA